rnacentral:rRNA from 1 species
GACGAACGCUGGCGGCGUGCUUAACACAUGCAAGUCGAACGGAAAGGCCCUGCCUUUGUGGGGUGCUCGAGUGGCGAACGGGUGAGUAACACGUGAGUAACCUGCCCCCGACUGUGGGAGAACUUCAGGAAACUGGGGCUAAUACCGGAUAGGAGCUCCUGCUGCAUGGUGGGGGUUGGAAAGUUUCGGCGGUUGGGGAUGGACUCGCGGCUCAUCAGCUUGUUGGUGGGGUAGUGGCUUACCAAGGCAUUGACGGGUAGCCGGCCUGAGAGGGUGACCGGACACAUUAGGACUGAGAUACGACCCAGACUACUACGGGACGCAACGGUGGGGAGUAGUGUCCAAUGGGCGGGAGGCUGAUGCAGCAACGCCGCGUGCGGGAAGACGGCCUGCGGGUUGUGAACCGCUGUCGCCUGAGACGAGGCGUGAGUGACGGUAACGGGAAAAGAAGCCCCGGCUAACUACGUG